rnacentral:rRNA from 1 species
AAUCAACGCUGGCGGCGUGCCUAACACAUGCAAGUCGAACGAGAAAGUGUAGCAAUACAUGAGUACAGUGGCGACCGGGUGAGUAACACGUGACUAACCUACCCUCUUGUGGGGAAUAACCUUCCGAAAGGAGGGCUAAUACCGCAUAACAUCGCGAGGUGAGAUUCCUUGUUAUCAAAGGAGCAAUUCGCAGGAGGAGGGGGUCGCGGCUGAUUAGCUAGUUGGUGAGGUAAUGGCUUACCAAGGCAGUGAUCAGUAUCCGGCCUGAGAGGGCGCACGGACACACUGGAACUGAAACACGGUCCAGACUCCUACGGGAGGCAGCAGUGGGGAAUUUUGCGCAAUGGGGGAAACCCUGACGCAGCAACGCCGCGUGGAGGAUGAAGGUCUUUGGAUUGUAAACUCCUUUCGAUCGGGACGAUGAUGACGAUACCGGAAGAAGAAGCACCGGCUAACUCUGUGCCAGCCGCCGCAGUAAAAC